CAGUAGCCACGGUAAUACGUAGGGUGCGAGCGUCAAUCGGAAUUACUGGGCGUAAAGCGUGCGCAGGCGGUUGUGUAAGACAGGUGUGAAAUCCCCGGGCUUAACCUGGGAACUGCGCUUGUGACUGCACAGCUAGAGUAUGGCAGAGGGGGGUGGAAUUCCACGUGUAGCAGUGAAAUGCGUAGAGAUGUGGAGGAACACCGAUGGCGAAGGCAGCCCCCUGGGCCAAUACUGACGCUCAUGCACGAAAGCGUGGGGAGCAAACAGGAUUAGAUACCCCCGUAGUCCCUGUCUCUUAUAC
rnacentral:rRNA from 1 species